rnacentral:misc_RNA from 1 species
CUCUUUCCCAGCAGCGACGGACUCAUUCCCCAUGUGUUGCCCCUCCUCUCUCUUCCCGCAUCCUCUUGUGUCACUCUCGCAUCGCAGGAACCCCUGGACGCUGCCCCCACACUCCGUGAAAGAGACAGACGGUAACCGUUGCUCCCCUCGCUCAAAAUGCACUUGCAGCUCCUCUGGUGCUCCGCCUCGCUUCCGUCCAUGAUGGCGGUGCUCUUGGCACUUGCCAUGUGCCUCGCUGCCAGCAUCGCGUCUGCUGAUAUGCUGCUUGCGCCUAGUGACUCGAUUCCCUUCACCACUUUCGGUCAGCUUCAGCAGGUCUGCGCAGCGACGCAGGCUGGCAGUACCCCGGUGGCUAUGUACACAGCAACCAUGACGGCCCUUGUUGCCAAUCUCAUGAGUGAAAAGAAGGUGACCCACGCGUACGUGAGCGCGUACCUGAACGCCGACAGGAGGUGGACCUGGUUCGUCUACGAGGGCGGCGAAGUCAUCGAGACGCUCAUGAACAGCAGCCAGUGGGCAACCGGAAACCCAACGGGGGCGCACACCACCUACAGGCACGUGGUCUACAGCACCACGGAUAAGGGACUCAUCAGCGCCACCGGUUACGACAACUACCCAGUAGUCUGCAAAUACGAGAACCAAACAGACUACAGUCCACCCGGCAAGAGGUUCCCCUGGUGGAGCAUUCUCAUCGUUGUGGUAGUGGUCGCCGUCGUCGUGACGGUCGCUGUUUGCUGCCUCUGUUGCAAGAGGAAGCAGUUCGACGACGCAGGCGACGAGGACAGCGAGCUCACGACUCACAACGGCUCCUUCAGAAGCUAUGGCACCAGCCACACGGACAGCAACAAGUCUGACGGUAGCUCGCUUUUCACCUCGCGCCGCUCGUCCUCCUCUGGGUCGGAGAGUCAGUCCGACGGCUCGUCUUCUUGAAGCCGUGGCGUGACGGGCUCCACCGGUGGCGACUAGAGCACCAGAUAUCUCAAAAGGAAAGAGGAUAAAGGAGAGAGCGUGCCCAAGAUGGCUAAGGCGCUGUGAAAGAUGGAAAAGUGGUGAGUGGGAAGGGCCCGCCGGCCUCUUCGUGUUGUGUUACCUUCCAGUGGAGCCGCCCCCCUCCCCCCCUCCUCCCUCACCCCUGGCAGCGGUUCGUAAAACGGAAACUGUCACACAAAAUACAUAUAUACAGCAGAUCAUUAACUCUUGCACAUACAGACACGCACAUAUGUACCUCCUUCCUUCCCUGUCAUUCCCUUUUACCCAUCCAUCCACCCAUACACACCACCUCAUUACGUCCGUCUUGGCUUUGAGCUUUCCGCGCAUGCGAUGCAGAGGCGUGUAUUCUUGUUUUUGUGUGUAUAUGUGGUUACGUAAGCCACCCAUGCCCCCCCUUUCCGCCACCAUCACGACCAUGUCGGCCCCACCCCAACUCAUUGAUACUCGCCCACCUGUCUACCUUCCCCCCUCCCCCUCCUCCUGCGCCUGCGUGUGUUUUAUACAUCUCCUUUCUCGCAUCGUCAGUUAGUGUCUUCGUUUUCUCUGUUCACACGUGUGCAUGUGUUUGUGUGUGUGUGUGUGUGUGUGUUUCCGAGCGUUUUGCGAUGGUUUACGUGACUUGGUUGCCCUCCUCCGCACACAAACACACACACGCAGACACAAUAUACUCGUCAUCGGUGGUGUGUCUGUGCGACCACACAUGUAUGUGUCUGUGUCUGCCUGUCUGUGAUUGCAUGUGUACAUGGUUCUCUUUCUAGCUCUCUCGCUCUUGCCUCUCUUCGGUUCUACUGUGUAAAGAACUACCGUGACGAAUGUAUGAAGGUGCGCGUCUUGAUUCGGGAGGACGCGCGCGCGCGCUCUUGUUGCGUGUACGCUGCUGUGUUUUCGUAUCAUCAUCUCCGGUGGACCUCUCCUCCUCCUCCCCCUCCCCUUACCACUCCUCCGCGUGUGGGCGGGGGAUGUCGGAGCCUCACGUGUCUUGCCUUACUUGCCGGUAGCUUUUGUGUAGGAGUGUGUAGAUGUGUGUUCGGCUACAUCAGCUCCGUCAAGAUGGUUUUCCGGCUUCCUUUUUUUCGGGGGGAGGGGGGUUCUCCCCCUCCUCAUCGUUUUCCCGCCGUCGCUGUGUGUUCGCGUCGGGUGGCUGUGCGACGGUGCGCGCAUGAGUGGCCCGCGUGCGUUCUGUUCCCGUUGCCCCUCUCCCCUCCCUUACCAGGGCUUGGGUUGGUGUAUGCACCUUUGCGUGCCAUUCCCUUCUGUGGCUGUCGGUGAGGAGGAGAGGGAACGAAGAGCGCACACGCCACACAUGCACAAACACGUCCAUGUUUGUACAUCGCUGCUGUCGCCUGGAUUGUGGUUCACAGCUCGCUC